UACGGAGGGUGCAAGCGUUUAUCCGGAUUUACUGGGUUUAAAGGGAGCGUAGGUGGGUCGGUAAGUCAGUGGUGAAAUCUUCGAGCUUAACUCGGAAACUGCCAUUGAUACUAUCGAUCUUGAAUUAUCUGGAGGUAAGCGGAAUAUGUCAUGUAGCGGUGAAAUGCUUAGAUAUGACAUAGAACACCCAUUGCGAAGGCAGCUUACUACGGAUAUAUUGACACUGAGGCUCGAAAGCGUGGGGAUCAAACAGG
rnacentral:rRNA from 1 species